GCGGGUGUAGUUCAAUGGUAGAACUCCGGCUUCCCAAGCCUGCGGCGUGGGUUCGAUUCCCAUCACCCGCUCCA
rnacentral:tRNA from 10 species